rnacentral:rRNA from 1 species
CCUACGGGAGGCAGCAGUGAGGCAUAUUGGUCAAUGGACGAGAGUCUGAACCAGCCAAGCAGCGUGAAGGAUGACUGCCCUAUGGGUUGUAAACUUCUUUUAUAAAGGAAUAAAACGAGGUACGUGUGCCUUUUUGCAUGUACUUUACGAAUAAGGAUCGGCUAACUCCGUGCCAGCAGCCGCGGUAAUACGGAGGAUCCGAGCGUUAUCCGGAUUUAUUGGGUUUAAAGGGAGCGUAGAGGGGUGGUUAAGUUAGUGGGGAAAGUUUGGGGCUCAACCGUAGAAUUGCAGUUGAAACUGGCAGGCUAGAGUUGAGUAGAGGUAGGCGGAAUGCGCGGUGUAGCGGUGAAAUGCUUAGAUAUCACGCAGAACACCGAUUGCGAAGGCAGUUCACUGGACUGCUACUGACGCUGAGGCACGAAAGUGUGGGUAUCAAACAGGAUUAGAUACCCUGGUAGUC